rnacentral:rRNA from 1 species
UAUCACUCCUACGGGGAGGCAGCAGUGGGGAAUAUUGCACAAUGGGCGCAAGCCUGAUGCAGCCAUGCCGCGUGUAUGAAAGAAAGGCCCUUCGGGUUUGUAAAAGUACUUUUCAGCGUGAGGAAGGUGGAGUCGUUAAUAGCGGCCUCAUUUGACGUUAGCUGCAGAAGAAGCACCGGCUAACUCCGUGCCAGCAGCCGCGGUAAUACGGAGGGUGCGAGCGUUAAUCGGAAUUACUGGGCGUAAAGCGCAUGCAGGUGGUUUGUUAAGUCAGAUGUGAAAGCCCGGGGCUCAACCUCGGAAUUGCAUUUGAAACUGGCAGACUAGAGUACUGUAGAGGGGGGUAGAAUUUCAGGUGUAGCGGUGAAAUGCGUAGAGAUCUGAAGGAAUACCGGUGGCGAAGGCGGCCCCCUGGACAGAUACUGACACUCAGAUGCGAAAGCGUGGGGAGCAAACAGGAUUAGAUACCCUGGUAG